rnacentral:rRNA from 1 species
UACGUAGGGUGCAAGGCGUUAUCCGGAAUUAUUGGGCGUAAAGAGCUCGUAGGGCGGUUUGUCGCGUCUGCUGUGAAAAACCUGGGAGGCCUCAACCUCCAGCCUGCAGUGGGUACGGGGCAGACUGAGAGUGCGGUAGGGGAGAUUGGAAUUCCGUGGUAGUAGCGGUGGAAUGCGCAGAUAGUCAGGAGGAACACCGAUGGCGAAGGCAGAUCUCUGGGCCCGAUAACUGGACGCUGAAGGAGCGAAAGCAUGGGGAGCGAACAGG